UCAGGGCUUCUGAACUCUUUCCCUUGAAGCUGAGGGAAGCCCUGGAAAAGCCCUUUCCCACGGUUACAGCCUCAGCAACUCUACCCCUUCUCCUUUGGCCAUGGCUACCCCAGACUGGUCCCCCGUGGGGUGCGCCCACUCCACCACUGAAGGGCUCCCCUCCUUGGCCGGAGCACCAGCUGCAGUCCGUGGCAUCAUCACCCCACCCCUCAGGCUGCCCAGUCAUCAGGUCAGCAAUUAGCUACUUCCUCCCAGCCACAUGAGGCCACCAAACGUCACGGCCCCUCCUCCUGCUGCUGCCAGCGGGAGUGCUGGGGGUGCCCCUGUCCUUUGUAGUCAGUGCCAAGUCCUGGCCCGACACCCCCUCCCACAACCUACUGAGAGCCGGGGUAAUGAGCUGCCAUCUAGGGAACGGGAAGCUAAGCAACUGCCUCCUCCCCUGUGUCACCCCAUCCCAUCGCCUGGGUGGGGCGAUGCCAGCUCAAGGGCAUGGGCCCAGCCUGGGCAGAGCUUGAGACUCAGGUGUCUCUGGCUCCAGUUGUGGGCGGUUUUCGCCAGGCCCUCACCUGGGGCUGGGAGUCUGUGAGUGAAGGAGCAGUUAUCUGGGAAGGGAGAAAAAUGGAGUCACUCUACAGCUGUCCUGACAUGCAGCAGGUGGGCUCUGCACGAACACCCUCGGGGGCUCUCAUGCCUGCACCUAGGCACACUCACAGGACCCCUGCAGAGGAACCAGGAGUCACCCCAGCACCUCCCACCUAGACCUUCCUGGGGGCAGUUGGGAGCUACACUGCAUUUGCAGGUAGAUCACUCAACUCCUCAAGCCCUCAGUGAUUGCAUCUGUGCAAUGGGGAUUGUAGAAUCCCCUUGAACUUGGCUGUGAAGUUGAAAUGAGACAACCUGGCUCAGAGCAGUAAUGCGCAGGCUGGCAUUACUGUUGGGGACCCUCCCAAUA